rnacentral:rRNA from 1 species
CCUACGGGUGGCAGCAGUGGGGAAUAUUGGGCAAUGGGCGCAAGCCUGACCCAGCAACGCCGCGUGAAGGAAGAAGGCUUUCGGGUUGUAAACUUCUUUUCUCAGGGACGAAGCAUGUUACGGUAUCUGAUGACUAAGCCACGGCUAACUUCGUGCCCGCAUCCGCGUUUGUACGUAGGUGGCAACCGUUAUCCGGUUUUACUGGGUGUAAGGGGCGUGUAGGCGGGACUGCAAGUCAGAUGUGAAAACCACGGGCUCAACCUGUGGCCUGCAUUUGAAACUGUAGUUCUUGAGUACGGGAGAGGCAGGAGGAAUGCCUGGUGUAGCGGUGAAAUGCAUAGAUAUUA